GGCCGCGUAGUGUAGUGGUUAGCACGCAGGAUUUUGAUAGAAAAAAAUUCCUGAGACCUGAGUUCAAUCCUCGGCGGGGCCU